rnacentral:tRNA from 1 species
GGGGAUAUAGCUUAAUGGUAGAGUGUGUGCUUAGCAUGCAUGAAGUCCUGGGUUCAAUCCCUAGUACCUCCA